CGUUUUAAUCGUUUCAACUGGUUACUGACAUUUUCACAAUGAAUUUUCUCAAGAAUUUCUAUUUUCUCUUGGUCAUUUUAGCCAUAUCUAUGGUUACUAUUGAUGCUGCCAAUCAGCCGAAACCCGCGGUUAAAGAAAAAAAAGUCAGGGUUGCGGAAGGAAGGGGGGUCAAUAUUAAUAGACCUAAUAAUACGAAGGCUUAAGAUAAAUCUAAAUUGAUGAUUUAUUGAAAUCCUUAUUUCUUGAGUGUAUUAUAUAUAUGUUUUAAGUUGAAUAAAUAUUUCAAAUUUGUGCAAUAAAAA